rnacentral:rRNA from 1 species
GAAAGAAUAUCGGAGACGGAUGGGCAUGCGGCGCAUUAGCUAGUUGGCGGGGUAACGGCCCACCAAGGCGACGAUGCGUAGGGGUUCUGAGAGGAAGGUCCCCCACACUGGUACUGAGACACGGACCAGACUCCUACGGGAGGCAGCAGUGAGGAAUAUUGGUCAAUGGGCGAGAGCCUGAACCAGCCAAGUCGCGUGAGGGAGUACUGCCCUAUGGGUUGUAAACCUCUUUUGUCGGGGAGCAAAAGCCGGACGUGUCCGGCUGUGAGAGUACCCGAAGAAAAAGCAUCGGCUAACUCCGUGCCAGCAGCCGCGGUAAUACGGAGGAUGCGAGCGUUAUCCGGAUUUAUUGGGUUUAAAGGGUGCGCAGGCGGAUUUUUAAGUCAGCGGUCAAAUCGUGGGGCUCAACCCCAUCCAGCCGUUGAAACUGGGGAUCUAGAGUGUGCGAGAGGUAUGCGGAAUGCGUGGUGUAGCGGUGAAAUGCAUAGAUAUCACGCAGAACCCCGAUUGCGAAGGCAGCAUACCGGUGCACAACUGACGCUCAGGCACGAAAGCGUGGGUAUCGAACAGGAUUAGAUACCCUGGUAGUCCACGCAGUAAACGAUGAAUGCUACCUGUUUGGCCAGAUUGAAGGCUGAGCGGG